rnacentral:lncRNA from 1 species
GGUUGGCAGUGGAAGCGAGGACAUCUUUUACUGGAGAUCCCUGCCUACCUGAGGCCUUCCAAAGCACACACGCUGGGGCACAGAUAGACAAGUGGAAAAUCGAAGAGGAAGGUUUUGAAGAGAGAAGAGGCAUCAUCUGGGGAAAAGGCUCUUCAUUGAGAGGGUGAACUGGCUCCCCAGAGAAGUAGUUGUGGACCCGCAUUUAAAAAGAAGAAACAUUUCAAAAUAUUCUUUUCUCUGUUAAUCAGUAUCUUUGUGACUUAUUACAGUAUUUCUCUUAUCCAUGGGCUAUUGUCUGUUUAGCCCUGCGCUAGUACCUGUUUUUUUGUUUUUUUUUUAACUGGCACUCUAUGACCAAUUGGAAGCAUGAUGGAUUUUUUUUUGUGUAGGGAUCUACCUGUCUCCUUAGGGAUGGGUAUUAGUGCUAUAUCUGUAAGUAGAUUUAUGUUUAGAACCACUGUUUUAUUAAUUUGGCUGUGUGAAACCAAAGAAAUAAUUAGGUCUGCUUGAAAAUAGUCUUAUGUAAUGCUUAAUGAUUGAAGCACAAAUGCCUUUUCCCUCUUUCCAUUCUUUUAAAAUCCACACUUUGUUAGAUAAAUUUUUAUGAUAGUUAUUAUUUUAUAUUGCUCUGUCAAUAAAAAAGUAAAUUUUUAAGC